rnacentral:lncRNA from 1 species
CGAGCUGGCUGCCUCACAGACUCAUCCCAGUUUAAUCUUCACGGUGCAUCAGGCACAGGGGAAAAAACACAACGAUUUUCCUUUUUUUUUGGGGACUUAAUCUUUACCUGGGGUCAGAUUUACCAAUCCUCCCACUAAUCCCCCAACGCCUUCGCAAAGCAAGGGACCCCCUCCUCCACCAGCCCCUCGGGAGCGGGUCCAGGAAUCACCCAUAGCCCCAGGGUGCCUCGGAAUUAGCACUCCAGGUGAAUUUUUCCCAACAAUACACCUUUUAAAAGGCUUUUUUUUAUUUAAGGAACCUGAAUGUGAGGAUGGGGGGAAGGAGAUCACACAGUAGUGGGCAGGUAGGGGCAAAGCCUGGGGGUCUUGGCUCCCCUGACAGGCUCAGAUUUGGGGGAAGGAUGAGAAAUCACUUAAAAGAUUCCAUGCCAUUCCCUUCCUCAUUUUACCCAUGUGUAGAGAUGAAAGGUCACCCCCUCUCCGGGGGUUCAGAUGGCACCAGCUGCCCCUCAACAACCUCCAGCUCAUCCCUGGUGGAGCAGGACUGGGGAUCAGCCCAGACCUGCAGAUGGGAGAAUUGGGGGGUUGUGGGGACAAGAGUUCCCAUGGAUGUGGGGGCUCAGGGAUCCCUGUGGAUGGGGGGGCCACAGGGCUCUGCAGAACUGGGCAGGGAGAGCAGGGGAGGCUCUGCAGAGAGGGGCAGCAGGGGAUCUGCAUAUGGGGGGACAGGGGUCCCUGCAGAUGAGGGGACACAGAGCUUUGAAGGGACAGGGUUCAGCAGAACAGAGGGACAGGGAUGCCUGGAGGGAACGUGGGGCUUUGAAGAUGGGGGCACAGGAGUCCCUAAAGAAGUGGGGACAGGGGUCCCUAUGGAUGAGGAGACAGGGGGCUCUGUAGGAGGGGGACAGGGGCCCUGGCAGAUUGAGGACAGGGCCCCCUGCAGAAGAUCAGACAUCACUGUCCAUGUGGGGGACAGGAGAGGGACAGAGGGGACAGAGGGGACAGAGGGGACAGAGGUCCCUGCACACAGGUGACACACAGACCCCUACAAAUCUGCCCUUUCCACGCCAACCUCCCGCAGUGCCCCU